rnacentral:misc_RNA from 1 species
CACAAGAACGACAACACGGAACACAUCAGCCUAGCGACAAAAUGGCGUCACCGGACACAUACGCAACGAUAUCCACGUGAUACCCAACUCUAGGGGUAGGUGUCUUCCAUGAAAAACAUGGAAGAUGCCACCCCCUCACACUACGAACAGACAGAAGAUACUGAGAUACCUUAUCCAAACACAGUCCUACGUGUGAUUACACGCUAGCAACACAAUGGACGAUGACCGGUACCAUGGGCUCGUGGCCUAUCCGUUGACCUCGAAAGAGGUCGAUGUAUGGACCUAAUACCCGGUACACGGCUGCCAAGUGUUCAGCACCGUAUCCAUAACGCAGCCGACUGACUCCGACUGUUCCAACUACAAACCAAAUGUUAAUACAUUCUUCGUUCCAACCCAAUUCCUAAACGUUUAUUCCUCGUAGUCAUCAGACGACAAUGCCUACAACACCCUUAGAAUCGGUUAGAAUGAUGAUUUCAGAAAAAUGACAAGCAUAUGUCUGACUCUCAAGUGGAGAAAAAUUUUCUUACGUCUGACUAACCGUGAUCAACAAAUUGAGAGUGAUGAGUUCGUUACGCGCUGAGACUGGAGAGAUAUAUCAUAACGCUCAUUGAAGUGUAGAACUACUUUGAUACGAUGUAGUUUGCACAAUACAGAUGUCCCGUCUACUGAACACUAUUACUGUAAUUAGUAGUUACUUUUACAAGGUACUCACCAAUACGUAUUUUUCAUACAAG